rnacentral:rRNA from 1 species
UACGUAGGUGGCAAGCGUUGUCCGGAAUUAUUGGGCGUAAAGCGCGCGCAGGCGGUCCUUUAAGUCUGAUGUGAAAGCCCACGGCUCAACCGUGGAGGGUCAUUGGAAACUGGGGGACUUGAGUGCAGAAGAGGAAAGCGGAAUCCCACGUGUAGCGGUGAAAUGCGUAGAGAUGUGGAGGAACACCAGUGGCGAAGGCGGCUUUCUGGUCUGUAACUGACGCUGAGGCGCGAAAGCGUGGGGAGCAAACAGG